AGUGAACGCUGGCGGUAGGCCUAACACAUGCAAGUCGAACGGCAGCACAGUAAGAGCUUGCUCUUACGGGUGGCGAGUGGCGGACGGGUGAGGAAUACAUCGGAAUCUACUUUUUCGUGGGGGAUAACGUAGGGAAACUUACGCUAAUACCGCAUACGACCUACGGGUGAAAGCAGGGGAUCUUCGGACCUUGCGCGAUUGAAUGAGCCGCUUUCGGAUUAGCUAGUUGGCGGGGUAAAGGCCCACCAAGGCGACGAUCCGUAGCUGGUCUGAGAGGAUGAUCAGCCACACUGGAACUGAGACACGGUCCAGACUCCUACGGGAGGCACCCGUGGGGACUAUUGGACCAUGGGCGCAAGCCUGAUCCAGCCAUCCCGCGUGGGUUAAGAAGGCCUUCGGGUUGUAAAGCCCUUUUGUUGGGAAAGAAAAGCAGCAGGUUAAUACCCCGCUGUUCUGACGGUACCCAAAGAAUAAGCACCGGCUAACUUCGUG
rnacentral:rRNA from 1 species